AGAGUGGCUCCGGUCCUGUCCAUGCGGUCUUCAGACAUGGGUGUUGUGCUGCCCCCGCCGCCGCUGUCCAUGCUGAUGCUGGUGCUGAUGCUGCUGCCAGGUACAAGCGGGGAGCGGUCGGGUCCGGAGCCUAGGCUGGCUGCGGGCGGUGGCCAUCGGGCGGCGGGUGGGUCUCCUGUGCGAGGCUGCAGCCCAGGGCUCUGUUUUCCGCACGACUUUGACCACCAGAGCCUUAGAAGUCUAGGCACCCACUUGCCUUGAAUCUCAGCGUGGCCCCACGGUUCUGCCUGUGCACGCGCAUCCCAGUCCCUACCACUGAGUCCCUUGGCUACUCCUUUGUUCCCAAACCUGCUAGUUAGCUGAGGCUCGAGACUAGCCCAGAACCGGCCCUCUGCUUCUGCUAGGGAGAUAGAGGUUUGGGUCCCGGUCCCGAACGUCGCCCCGCAGCCCCGCUUCCAGCAUCUGCCUCCUCCCACCGCUUGGUUUUAAGUGGGAAAACAUGCGGCCAAAGAAGGCUAAAUAUUUGUCUAAAGCUACCGGGUCGUUUUGGAGCUGGGGCAGGACCAAGCCUCUGGUUCUGGUCAUCGGGUCUCUGCGCAAAAUGAUCGCGUUGCCUAGAGACCUUCGACGUGAUCGCUCCUCCCAGGCCGUCGUGGAGGCUCUAGGGGGGAGCCUAUUAGGAGAAAAGCCCUUCCAGAGACCCAGGAUGGCUGGCGAGUGAAGCAGAAAAGCAGCUAUGAUGCUCCCCUGAAGGCGGUCAGAGCACGCAGGGGCGAGGGGAACGACACCAGCAUUGUGGCUGUGCAUCAUUACAGUCUGCUCCACUGCAUGGGUCCUGCUUAAAUCUAAAUCACAGCCUGAAGAAAAUAAGUUACACCGGCCCCCUCCCCCGAGACUGUACCUAGACUGACCCUAGUACUGUAAGCAGACAGCUUGAGCCAAUAUGUCUUGCUUAGUUGGAGUGGAUUUGUAAACAAAGGAUGCCCAGGGACCAGAGGUAAAGGCUGGGAUGAGGAUGUGAAGACAGCCCAGCCAGGAACCCGGUAGGCAUCUUGGCUCCUACGAUAUGAUAACCAAGCCCCUGCAGAAUUUGGAGAGAGUGAAGGGGCUGUAAUCUCUGACACGGUGGAAAACAGGGCUCCUGGCCUGGGGGAACCCCGAGUGGCUCCACCCCAGGGUGAGUCAUCUUUCCACUUGGGCAGCAGGAGAACCACAACCUUCCUUGGAGGAACAAUAAAGGUUUGAGCCGCUAAUAGCUCUUUUUUUUUUCUCUUAGAUAGCAAGGUUAGGUGGUUAUGUAAAGGUUAGAGUUUUAUUAAGAAAACAAAAACAAAAACCAAACAAACAAAAAACCAGUAUCUGGUCCUCCUGGGAAAGGCACUUCCCACUCAGCCUUAUGACCGGCAUUAGAUUCCCAGGACCCACAUUGUGGAAGGAGAGAACUGAGUCACCCUUGGAGCCUGCCCCCCACAUGCCACAGCAUGCACCCUCCUCCAUUAAUGUAAUGAAAAAUUUAAAGAAGAAAAUAAGGAAGUCUUUACCUAGAUUUAAGAGAGAGAAGGGGGGAGAAAGCUAAGAAAAUGGCAGGAACACACACAGAGACAGUGUAGAUUCUCUGACAGGAUCCCACCAAGCUAACAGUUCUCCAGCACUUGCCUCAGGCCAGUGACUGAAGCACUUCACUUCCACCUUUGAGGUGCAUUCAUGCAUACUCUUUGAUAGUUCAGAAACGAUGGUUCAGAGAGUUUGAGCUACUAGCCUAAGCGCACACAGCUUCCCCCGGUUUGCCGGGAUUUUCCUUAGAUGUACCCAAUUUCAGAACUCAGGCUUCUAAACCACUGAAUGUGCACGACCUCGGCUUCCCAGCCUGUAACUUCCAGGGAACAUUACUAGCCUGGAAGCCCGAGUUUGCAGAGUACCCUGGCAGACGGCAGUCUGUGGGCAGGCUGCCCUCUCUGGGAGAGGUGCAUUUCCUCAGGGACUGACAGGGAUACCUCCUUCAGUGGCCAGCGCCUCGGAAGCUGAGCACCGCCUGUUCCAGUACCUGUUUGAAGAUUACAACGAGAUCAUCCGGCCGGUGGCUAACGUGUCCCAUCCUGUCAUCAUCCAGUUUGAGGUGUCUAUGUCUCAGCUGGUGAAGGUGGUAAGUGCUGGGGCCACACGAUGUGCCCCUGGGGUUCUAGGGGAGUCUUCUGCCUUAUUUUGGUCAGUCACCUGUCAACUUCAAUCUCACUUUCUAGGAUGAAGUAAACCAGAUCAUGGAAACCAACCUGUGGCUGAAGCAAGUAAGUACCCAGGUUCUGUGUACUGCUGCCCCCUGGUGGUGAUUGCCUUAUUUGUUGCUGGGGGAAAAGGGGAACUGGACUGGACACUACUCCUGGACCCGGGACAGGGUCACCUGACUGCUCUUGAGGGCUGACUCCCUCACUCACAUCACAGACAGACAAGCUACAACCUGGAGAGAGAAUUCUAUCCACAGCCCCCUUACAAAACUGAACAAGCUGGGUGUUGUGGCUCAAGCCUUUGAUCCCUGCACUCAGAAGACAGAGGGAGGUAGAUCUUUGUGAGUUCAAUGCCAGCCUGAUAUAUAUAGCAAGUUUCAGGACAGCUAGAGCUAUGUAGAGGGACAUUAGUCUC
rnacentral:lncRNA from 1 species